AGGAAAGCAGGGGAUCGCAAGACCUUGCGCUUUUGGAGCGGCCGAUGUCUGAUUAGCUAGUUGGUGAGGCAAAGGCUUACCAAGGCGUCGAUCAGUAGCUGGUCUGAGAGGACGACCAGCCACACUGGGACUGAGACACGGCCCAGACUCCUACGGGAGGCAGCAGUGGGGAAUUUUGGACAAUGGGGGAAACCCUGAUCCAGCCAUGCCGCGUGAGUGAAGAAGGCCUUCGGGUUGUAAAGCUCUUUCAGCCGGAACGAAACGGUCACAGCUAAUACCUGUGACUACUGACGGUACCGGAAGAAGAAGCACCGGCUAACUACGUGCCAGCAGCCGCGGUAAUACGUAGGGUGCGAGCGUUAAUCGGAAUUACUGGGCGUAAAGCGUGCGCAGGCGGUUUUGUAAGUCAGAUGUGAAAUNCCCCGGGCUUAAACACUGGGAACUGCGUUUGAAACUACAAGGCU
rnacentral:rRNA from 1 species